rnacentral:rRNA from 1 species
GACGAACGCUGGCGGCGUGCUUAACACAUGCAAGUCGAACGGGAGUACUUUGAAAGCUUGCUGAUAAGUACUUUAGUGGCGGACGGGUGAGUAACGCGUGAGGAGCUGUCUUAUGCAGGGGGACAACAGUUGGAAACGGCUGCUAAUACCCCAUAAGCCGAGAGGUAAAAGGAGCAAUCCGGCAGAGGAGGUACUCGCGUCCUAUCAGCUAGUAGGUUGGGUAACGGCCGACCUAGGCGAAGACGGGUAGCCGGCCUGAGAGGGCGAACGGCCACACUGGAACUGAGAUACGGUCCAGACUCCUACGGGAGGCAGCAGUGGGGAAUAUUGGGCAAUGGGGGGAACCCUGACCCAGCGACGCCGCGUGGGUGAAGAAAUCCUUAGGGAUGUAAAGCCCUGUUGUAUGGGAAGAGCAGAAGACGGUACCAUACGAGGAAGCCCCGGCAAACUACGUGCCAGCAGCCGCCGUAA